rnacentral:rRNA from 1 species
GACGAACGCUGGCGGCGUGCUUAACACAUGCAAGUCGAACGGAAAGGCCCUGCUUUUGUGGGGUGCUCGAGUGGCGAACGGGUGAGUAACACGUGAGUAACCUGCCCUUGACUUUGGGAUAACUUCAGGAAACUGGGGCUAAUACCGGAUAGGAGCUCCUGCUGCAUGGUGGGGGUUGGAAAGUUUCGGCGGUUGGGGAUGGACUCGCGGCUUAUCAGCUUGUUGGUGGGGUAGUGGCUUACCAAGGCUUUGACGGGUAGCCGGCCUGAGAGGGUGACCGGCCACAUUGGGACUGAGAUACGGCCCAGACUCCUACGGGAGGCAGCAGUGGGAAUAUUGCACAAUGGGCGGAAGCCUGAUGCAGCAACGCCGCGUGCGGGAUGACGGCCUUCGGGUUGUAAACCGCUUUCGCCUGUGACGAAGCGUGAGUGACGGUAAUGGGUAAAGAAGCACCGGCUAACUACGUGCCAGCAGCCGCGGUGAUACGUAGGGUGCGAGCGUUGUCCGGAUUUAUUGGGCGUAAAGGGCUCGUAGGUGGUUGAUCGCGUCGGAAGUGUAAUCUUGGGGCUUAACCCUGAGCGUGCUUUCGAUACGGGUUGACUUGAGGAAGGUAGGGGAGAAUGGAAUUCCUGGUGGAGCGGUGGAAUGCGCAGAUAUCAGGAGGAACACCAGUGGCGAAGGCGGUUCUCUGGGCCUUUCCUGACGCUGAGGAGCGAAAGCGUGGGGAGCGAACAGGCUUAGAUACCCUGGUAGUCCACGCUGUAAACGGUGGGUACUAGGUGUGGGGUCCAUUCCACGGGUUCCGUGCCGUAGCUAACGCUUUAAGUACCCCGCCUGGGGAGUACGGCCGCAAGGCUAAAACUCAAAGGAAUUGACGGGGCCCCGCACAAGCGGCGGAGCAUGCGGAUUAAUUCGAUGCAACGCGUAGAACCUUACCUGGGUUUGACAUGGAUCGGAAGCGCUCAGAGAUGGGUGUGCCUCUUUUGGGGUCGGUUCACAGGUGGUGCAUGGCUGUCGUCAGCUCGUGUCGUGAGAUGUUGGGUUAAGUCCCGCAACGAGCGCAACCCUUGUUCACUGUUGCCAGCACGUUAUGGUGGGGACUCAGUGGAGACCGCCGGGGUCAACUCGGGGGAAGGUGGGGAUGACGUCAAGUCAUCAUGCCCCUUAUGUCCAGGGCUUCACGCAUGCUACAAUGGCUGGUACAGAGAGUGGCGAGCCUGUGAGGGUGAGCGAAUCUCGGGAAGCCGGUCUCAGUUCGGAUUGGGGUCUGCAACUCGACCUCAUGAAGUCGGAGUCGCUAGUAAUCGCAGAUCAGCAACGCUGCGGUGAAUACGUUCCCGGGGCU